AAUUCCAAGCUUGAAACCGUGAUAAGGGGACACCGAGUGCCAGCAUCAUAUGCUGGCUGUCCGGAUGUGUAAAAUACAUCCGUUAGCAAGGGCCGGGCAAGACCGGUGCCAGCCGCCGCGGUAACACCGGCGGCCCGAGUGGUGAUCGUGAUUAUUGGGUCUAAAGGGUCCGUAGCCGGUUUGGUCAGUCCUCCGGGAAAUCUGAUAGCUCAACUAUUAGGCUUUCGGGGGAUACUGCCAGACUUGGAACCGGGAGAGGUAAGAGGUACUACAGGGGUAGGAGUGAAAUCUUGUAAUCCCUGUGGGACCACCUGUGGCGAAGGCGUCUUACCAGAACGGGUUCGACGGUGAGGGACGAAAGCUGGGGGCACGAACCGGAUUAGAUACCCGGGUAGUCCCAGCCGUAAACGAUGCUCGCUA
rnacentral:rRNA from 2 species